AGUAAAAUGGCUGAAAAUAAGCGAUAAAUUGUAAAUUUAUUUAUAAAUAUAAAAAUUUUUUUACUA
rnacentral:tRNA from 1 species